UUGCACCUCUGCUUUACCCUGCCCUGUUUUCUGAUCGUGUUUGUGGGGCAUUUGUAUUGGUGCAAAAAGUAAAUGCUGUUCUUUGAAGCAGCAGCAGCCAGACAACCGUAGAGAUAGAUCCACAGAUGAAUGGCUGAUUUGCUGCUUGUCUACUAGUUCUAUCUCAUAUUU
rfam:Triticum aestivum genome assembly, contig: Triticum_aestivum_CS42_TGACv1_scaffold_603042_7DL